CACUAUCGUUAACUGAAUACAUAGGUUAACGAGGCGAACCGGGGGAACUGAAACAUCUAAGUACCCCGAGGAAAAGAAAUCAACCGAGAUUCCCCCAGUAGCGGCGAGCGAACGGGGAGCAGCCCAGAGUCUGAAUCAGCUUGUGUGUUAGUGGAACGGUCUGGAAAGUCCGACGGUACAGGGUGAUAGUCCCGUACACCAAAAUGCACAGGUUGUGAACUCGAAGAGUAGGGCGGGACACGUGGUAUCCUGUCUGAAUAUGGGGGGACCAUCCUCCAAGGCUAAAUACUCCUGACUGACCGAUAGUGAACCAGUACCGUGAGGGAAAGGCGAAAAGAACCCCGGCGAGGGGAGUGAAAAAGAACCUGAAACCGUGUACGUACAAGCAGUGGGAGCACCUUCGGGUGUGACUGCGUACCUUUUGUAUAAUGGGUCAGCGACUUAUAUUCUGUAGCAAGGUUAACCGUAUAGGGGAGCCGCAGGGAAACCGAGUCUUAACUGGGCGUUAAGUUGCAGGGUAUAGACCCGAAACCCGGUGAUCUAGCCAUGGGCAGGUUGAAGGUUGGGUAACACUAACUGGAGGACCGAACCGACUAAUGUUGAAAAAUUAGCGGAUGACUUGUGGCUGGGGGUGAAAGGCCAAUCAAACCGGGAGAUAGCUGGUUCUCCCCGAAAGCUAUUUAGGUAGCGCCUCGUGAACUCAUCUUCGGGGGUAGAGCACUGUUUCGGCUAGGGGGUCAUCCCGACUUACCAACCCGAUGCAAACUACGAAUACCGAAGAAUGUUAUCACGGGAGACACACGGCGGGUGCUAACGUCCGUCGUGAAGAGGGAAACAACCCAGACCGCCAGCUAAGGUCCCAAAGUCAUGGUUAAGUGGGAAACGAUGUGGGAAGGCACAGACAGCCAGGAUGUUGGCUUAGAAGCAGCCAUCAUUUAAAGAAAGCGUAAUAGCUCACUGGUCGAGUCGGCCUGCGCGGAAGAUGUAACGGGGCUAAACCAUGCACCGAAGCUGCGGCAGCGACACUAUGUGUUGUUGGGUAGGGGAGCGUUCUGUAAGCCUGCGAAGGUGACCUGUGAGGGUUGCUGGAGGUAUCAGAAGUGCGAAUGCUGACAUAAGUAACGAUAAAGCGGGUGAAAAGCCCGCUCGCCGGAAGACCAAGGGUUCCUGUCCAACGUUAAUCGGGGCAGGGUGAGUCGACCCCUAAGGCGAGGCCGAAAGGCGUAGUCGAUGGGAAACAGGUUAAUAUUCCUGUACUUGGUGUUACUGCGAAGGGGGGACGGAGAAGGCUAUGUUAGCCGGGCGACGGUUGUCCCGGUUUAAGCAUGUAGGCUGGUUGUCCAGGCAAAUCCGGAUAAUCAAGGCUGAGGUGUGAUGACGAGGCACUACGGUGCUGAAGUAACAAAUGCCCUGCUUCCAGGAAAAGCCUCUAAGCAUCAGGUAACAUCAAAUCGUACCCCAAACCGACACAGGUGGUCAGGUAGAGAAUACCAAGGCGCUUGAGAGAACUCGGGUGAAGGAACUAGGCAAAAUGGUGCCGUAACUUCGGGAGAAGGCACGCUGGUGUGUAGGUGAAGUCCCUGCGGAUGGAGCUGAGACCAGUCGAAGAUACCAGCUGGCUGCAACUGUUUAUUAAAAACACAGCACUGUGCAAACACGAAAGUGGACGUAUACGGUGUGACGCCUGCCCGGUGCCGGAAGGUUAAUUGAUGGGGUUAUCCGUAAGGAGAAGCUCUUGAUCGAAGCCCCGGUAAACGGCGGCCGUAACUAUAACGGUCCUAAGGUAGCGAAAUUCCUUGUCGGGUAAGUUCCGACCUGCACGAAUGGCGUAAUGAUGGCCAGGCUGUCUCCACCCGAGACUCAGUGAAAUUGAACUCGCUGUGAAGAUGCAGUGUACCCGCGGCAAGACGGAAAGACCCCGUGAACCUUUACUAUAGCUUGACACUGAACAUUGAGCCUUGAUGUGUAGGAUAGGUGGGAGGCUUUGAAGCGUGGACGCCAGUCUGCGUGGAGCCAACCUUGAAAUACCACCCUUUAAUGUUUGAUGUUCUAACGUUGGCCCCUGACCGGGGUUGCGGACAGUGUCUGGUGGGUAGUUUGACUGGGGCGGUCUCCUCCCAAAGCGUAACGGAGGAGCACGAAGGUUAGCUAAUCCUGGUCGGACAUCAGGAGGUUAGUGCAAUGGCAUAAGCUAGCUUGACUGCGAGCGUGACGGCGCGAGCAGGUGCGAAAGCAGGUCAUAGUGAUCCGGUGGUUCUGAAUGGAAGGGCCAUCGCUCAACGGAUAAAAGGUACUCCGGGGAUAACAGGCUGAUACCGCCCAAGAGUUCAUAUCGACGGCGGUGUUUGGCACCUCGAUGUCGGCUCAUCACAUCCUGGGGCUGAAGUAGGUCCCAAGGGUAUGGCUGUUCGCCAUUUAAAGUGGUACGCGAGCUGGGUUUAGAACGUCGUGAGACAGUUCGGUCCCUAUCUGCCGUGGGCGCUGGAGAAUUGAGGGGGGCUGCUCCUAGUACGAGAGGACCGGAGUGGACGCAUCACUGGUGUUCGGGUUGUCAUGCCAAUGGCACUGCCCGGUAGCUAAAUGCGGAAGAGAUAAGUGCUGAAAGCAUCUAAGCACGAAACUUGCCCCGAGAUGAGUUCUCCCUGAGACUUUAAGUCUCCUGAAGGAACGUUGAAGACGACGACGUUGAUAGGCCGGGUGUGUAAGCGCAGCGAUGCGUUGAGCUAACCGGUACUAAUGAACCGUGAGGCUUAACCUU
rnacentral:rRNA from 1 species